AGCAGCCGCGGUAAUUCCAGCCCCAAUAGCGUAUAUUAAAGUUGUUGCAGUUAAAAAGCUCGUAGUUGAAUUUCGGGAUCAAUACGUCUGUCGUGCCUUUGGUACGUACGGGUGUAAUUGGUUUCUACCUUCUGAGGAUCCUUGAUGUCAUUAAUUUGGUGUCUUGGGGAAUCAGGACUGUUACCUUGAAAAAAUUAGAGUGUUUAAAGCAGGCAUACGCUUGAAUACAUUAGCAUGGAAUAAUGAAAUAGGACGUUCGAUUCUAUUUUGUUGGUUUCUAGGAUCGACGUAAUGAUUAAUAGGGAUAGUUGGGGGCAUUAGUAUUCAAUUGUCAGAGGUGAAAUUCUUGGAUUUAUUGAAGACUAACUACUGCGAAAGCAUUUGCCAAGGAUGUUUUCAUUAAUCUAAGAACGAAAGUUAGGGGAUCGAAGACGAUCAGAUACCGUCGUAGUCUUAACCAUAAACUAUGCCGACUAGGGAUCGGAUGAUGUAAUUUUUAAUGACUCAUUCGGCGCCUUAC
rnacentral:rRNA from 1 species